rnacentral:rRNA from 1 species
GAAGCGUCUGGAAAGGCGCGCGAUACAGGGUGACAGCCCCGUACACAAAAAUGCACAUGCUGUGAGCUCGAUGAGUAGGGCGGGACACGUGGUAUCCUGUCUGAAUAUGGGGGGACCAUCCUCCAAGGCUAAAUACUCCUGACUGACCGAUAGUGAACCAGUACCGUGAGGGAAAGGCGAAAAGAACCCCGGCGAGGGGAGUGAAAAAGAACCUGAAACCGUGUACGUACAAGCAGUGGGAGCACGCUUAGGCGUGUGACUGCGUACCUUUUGUAUAAUGGGUCAGCGACUUAUAUUCUGUAGCAAGGUUAACCGAAUAGGGGAGCCGAAGGGAAACCGAGUCUUAACUGGGCGUUAAGUUGCAGGGUAUAGACCCGAAACCCGGUGAUCUAGCCAUGGGCAGGUUGAAGGUUGGGUAACACUAACUGGAGGACCGAACCGACUAAUGUUGAAAAAUUAGCGGAUGACUUGUGGCUGGGGGUGAAAGGCCAAUCAAACCGGGAGAUAGCUGGUUCUCCCCGAAAGCUAUUUAGGUAGCGCCUCGUGAAUUCAUCUCCGGGGGUAGAGCACUGUUUCGGCAAGGGGGUCAUCCCGACUUACCAACCCGAUGCAAACUGCGAAUACCGGAGAAUGUUAUCACGGGAGACACACGGCGGGUGCUAACGUCCGUCGUGAAGAGGGAAACAACCCAGACCGCCAGCUAAGGUCCCAAAGUCAUGGUUAAGUGGGAAACGAUGUGGGAAGGCCCAGACAGCCAGGAUGUUGGCUUAGAAGCAGCCAUCAUUUAAAGAAAGCGUAAUAGCUCACUGGUCGAGUCGGCCUGCGCGGAAGAUGUAACGGGGCUAAACCAUGCACCGAAGCUGCGGCAGCGACGCUUAUGCGUUGUUGGGUAGGGGAGCGUUCUGUAAGCCUGCGAAGGUGUGCUGUGAGGCAUGCUGGAGGUAUCAGAAGUGCGAAUGCUGACAUAAGUAACGAUAAAGCGGGUGAAAAGCCCGCUCGCCGGAAGACCAAGGGUUCCUGUCCAACGUUAAUCGGGGCAGGGUGAGUCGACCCCUAAGGCGAGGCCGAAAGGCGUAGUCGAUGGGAAACAGGUUAAUAUUCCUGUACUUGGUGUUACUGCGAAGGGGGGACGGAGAAGGCUAUGUUGGCCGGGCGACGGUUGUCCCGGUUUAAGCGUGUAGGCUGGUUUUCCAGGCAAAUCCGGAAAAUCAAGGCUGAGGCGUGAUGACGAGGCACUACGGUGCUGAAGCAACAAAUGCCCUGCUUCCAGGAAAAGCCUCUAAGCAUCAGGUAACAUCAAAUCGUACCCCAAACCGACACAGGUGGUCAGGUAGAGAAUACCAAGGCGCUUGAGAGAACUCGGGUGAAGGAACUAGGCAAAAUGGUGCCGUAACUUCGGGAGAAGGCACGCUGAUAUGUAGGUGAAGUCCCUUGCGGAUGGAGCUGAAAUCAGUCGAAGAUACCAGCUGGCUGCAACUGUUUAUUAAAAACACAGCACUGUGCAAACACGAAAGUGGACGUAUACGGUGUGACGCCUGCCCGGUGC